rnacentral:rRNA from 1 species
GACGAACGCUGGCGGCGUGCCUAAUACAUGCAAGUAGAACGCUGAAGAGAGGAGCUUGCUCUUCUUGGAUGAGUUGCGAACGGGUGAGUAACGCGUAGGUAACCUGCCUUGUAGCGGGGGAUAACUAUUGGAAACGAUAGCUAAUACCGCAUAACAAUGGAUGACACAUGUCAUUUAUUUGAAAGGGGCAAUUGCUCCACUACAAUAUGGACCUGCGUUGUAUUAGCUAGUAGGUGAGGUAAUGGCUCACCUAGGCGACGAUACAUAGCCGACCUGAGAGGGUGAUCGGCCACACUGGGACUGAGACACGGCCCAGACUCCUACGGGAGGCAGCAGUAGGGAAUCUUCGGCAAUGGGGGCAACCCUGACCGAGCAACGCCGCGUGAGUGAAGAAGGUUUUCGGAUCGUAAAGCUCUGUUGUAAGUCAAGAACGGGUGUGAGAGUGGAAAGUUCACACUGUGACGGUAGCUUACCAGAAAGGGACGGCUAACUACGUG